ACCAAGGAGUCUAACAUGUGCGCGAGCCGCGGGGCAGUACGAAACCCGUAAGGCGAAAUGAAGGUGAACGCCGGCGCGGUCCGGCGGAGGUUGGAUCCCGUCCCGUCGGGGCGGGCGCACUACCGGCCGAUCUUCUCCGCCCUGUCGGCGAGGUCGAGCGAGAGCGUGCAAGUCGGGACCCGAAAGAUGGUGAACUAUGCCUGAGGAGGUUGAAGCCAGAGGAAACUCUGGUGGAGGACCGUAGCGAUUCUGACGUGCAAAUCGAUCGUCUAAUUUGGGUAUAGGGGCGAAAGACUAAUGGAACCGUCUAGUAGCUGGUUCCCUUCGAAGUUUCCCUCAGGAUAGCUGGCGCUCUGUCGCAGUUUUAUCUGGUAAAGCGAAUGAUUAGAGGUCUUGGGGGCGAAACGCCCUCAACCUAUUCUCAAACUUUAAAUUGGUAAGAAGCCCGACUCGCUCGUUUGGAGCCGGGCAUGGAAUGCGAGUGCCAAGUGGGCCACUCUUGGUAAGCAGGACUGGCGAUGCGGGAUGAACCGAACGCCGGGUUAAGGCGCCCGACGCGACGCUCAUCAGAGCCCACAAAAGGUGUUGGUUGAUAUAGACAGCAGGACGGUGGCCAUGGAAGUCGGAAACCGCUAAGGAGUGUGUAACAACUCACCUGCCGAAUCAAUCAACCCUGAAAAUGGAUGGCGCUGGAGCGUCAGGCCUAUACCCGGCCGUCGCGGCGGUACGAGCAUCGAGUUGGUGCGCUAGGCCGCGACAGUAGGAGGGCCGCGGCGGCGGG
rfam:Ciona savignyi cont_40737, whole genome shotgun sequence.